rnacentral:rRNA from 1 species
AACGAACGCUGGCGGCAUGCCUAACACAUGCAAGUCGAACGAGACCUUCGGGUCUAGUGGCGCACGGGUGCGUAACGCGUGGGAACCUGCCCUUAGGUUCGGAAUAACUCCCCGAAAGGGGUGCUAAUACCGGAUAAUGUCUUCGGACCAAAGAUUUAUGGCCUUUGGAUGGGCCCGCGUUGGAUUAGCUAGUUGGUAGGGUAAAAGCCUACCAAGGCGACGAUCCAUAGCUGGUCUGAGAGGAUGAUCAGCCACACUGGGACUGAGACACGGCCCAGACUCCUACGGGAGGCAGGAGUGGGGAAUAUUGGACAAUGGGCGAAAGCCUGAGCCAGCAAUGCCGCGUGAGUGAUGAAGGCCUUAGGGUUGUAAAGCUCUUUUACCCGGGAUGAUAAUGACAGUACCGGGAGAAUAAGCGCCGGCUAACUCCGUG